rnacentral:lncRNA from 1 species
AUUAUAUUAAUUAUUUGUUUUAUAAUACUAUGAAUUAUGAAAUCAUUAUUUUAUAUAUUGUUAUUUUAUAUUUUACUGCAAGUUAUUAUGUCAUUUUGAUCGAAAGCCAAUGGACUAAUGAUCGUUUUCAGCUGCCAAACAUAAUGAUUAACAUAAACUGAAAAAUAAUGUUUUGAAGAAUGACGAAAAUCGAAAUAACUGAUUCGUUUGGAUUUCGAAUUACGUCUAAUUUCUUUUCCAUCAUCCAAGAUAUACGAAGAAAUUUGGGUUUUCGUUUGUGAAAUUGUUGGUGUUUGUGAUCAUAUCAUCAAUUAAUCAUCUUCAAUUCUUCACGCAACUGAUUAUUACUUUUAAACAGCGUGGCAUCAUAAAUUUCAUCCUCAAGAUUUCAUUAUUUGAACACUAUCGGACUCUCUACUUAUCCUAUUACUCAGACUAGAGAUUUGCAUCCACUUGGAUUCACUGAUCGUAGGCAACAAGCAGCAACUGGAAGGUAUGUAUAUAUGCAUUUAUGAUUUGUAAAUAUUUAAGAAAGUUAACAUGUCACUGGAAUGCUCUCCAAGUGUUCGAUGAAAGUACACGAGUUUAAUAGCCCAAAAUCUUAGUUCGUGAACAAUACCAUUGUGCAAAUAUGAACUUUAGAGCUCCCUUAACAAAACAAUUACUGAGUAAUUUCAUCUCAUCAAGAUUUAUUUCCAUUUUCCACUUUCAUUCUCUUAUUCAUCAUAUCACUUUUUGCUAUACGUUACACUAAAAAGAACCAAAAGAAAGAAAUAAAAAAGUAAUGUAAAAACAAGCUUUUAUUUUUUUUACAGAUGAAGGGAAGUAUCAACAUCAGGUUUCUCAUGAACACACGAUGUGCUAACUGUUACUGAAUCCAUAGACCAGAAAUCUCUAAAAGGUGGAGUCUUUGAUGCUUGGUGUUCUGUUUUCUUUCCAAAUAAAUCAAGUCCAAGUGAUAAAGAUUCUUGAAACGAUGAUCUUGCUUUCAUUUCUUCAGGGUGCACCAAUCGCUCAUAAUGCUUUGUUUUUUUGCUCUUGGUUUCAGAUUCAGAAAGCAACUUCAACACUGCCAUUUCUUCUCUCUUCUCCCUCAUUUUUUCCAGCUGUCUGAAUCUUUCUUGCAGGAGAGCAAUGGAGGAAGAACCACCACCACCACCACCACCAACCACCAUUGGAUCACCA